CUGGCUCAGGAUGAACGCUGGCGGCGUGCCUAACACAUGCAAGUCGAACGAAGCAUAUUUAACGGAGAUUCGUCGAAGCUGGAUAUGACUUAGUGGCGGACGGGUGAGUAAUGUAUGAGCAACCUGCCUUUCAGAGGGGGACAACAGUUGGAAACGACUGCUAAUACCGCAUAACGUAUUUGGGUGGCAUCACCUGGAUACCAAAGGAGCAAUCCGCUGAAAGAUGGGCUCAUAUCUGAUUAGCUUGUUGGCGGGGUAACGGCCCACCAAGGCGACGAUCAGUAGCCGGACUGAGAGGUUGAACGGCCACAUUGGGACUGAGAUACGGCCCAGACUCCUACGGGAGGCAGCAGUGGGGAAUAUUGGGCAAUGGGCGAAAGCCCUGACCCAGCAACGCCGCGUGAAGGAAGAAGGUCUUCGGAUUGUAAACUUCUUUUAUGAGGGACGAAGGACGUGACGGUACCUCAUGAAUAAGCCACGGCUAACUACGUGCCAGCCGCGGC
rnacentral:rRNA from 1 species